rnacentral:rRNA from 1 species
UGCUGAUUUGCUGACGAGUGGCGGACGGGUGAGUAAUGUCUGGGAAACUGCCUGAUGGAGGGGGAUAACUACUGGAAACGGUAGCUAAUACCGCAUAACGUCGCAAGACCAAAGAGGGGGACCUUCGGGCCUCUUGCCAUCGGAUGUGCCCAGAUGGGAUUAGCUAGUAGGUGGGGUAACGGCUCACCUAGGCGACGAUCCCUAGCUGGUCUGAGAGGAUGACCAGCCACACUGGAACUGAGACACGGUCCAGACUCCUACGGGAGGCAGCAGUGGGGAAUAUUGCACAAUGGGCGCAAGCCUGAUGCAGCCAUGCCGCGUGUAUGAAGAAGGCCUUCGGGUUGUAAAGUACUUUCAGCGGGGAGGAAGGGAGUAAAGUUAAUACCUUUGCUCAUUGACGUUACCCGCAGAAGAAGCACCGGCUAACUCCGUGCCAGCAGCCGCGGUAAUACGGAGGGUGCAAGCGUUAAUCGGAAUUACUGGGCGUAAAGCGCACGCAGGCGGUUUGUUAAGUCAGAUGUGAAAUCCCCGGGCUCAACCUGGGAACUGCAUCUGAUACUGGCAAGCUUGAGUCUCGUAGAGGGGGGUAGAAUUCCAGGUGUAGCGGUGAAAUGCGUAGAGAUCUGGAGGAAUACCGGUGGCGAAGGCGGCCCCCUGGACGAAGACUGACGCUCAGGUGCGAAAGCGUGAGGAGCAAACAGGAUU